AUCCGCCUAAAGAGAAGCUCGCGGCUGAUUAGCUUGUUGGUAAGGUAAGAGCUUACGGCGACGAUCAGUAUCUGGUUUGAGAGGACGAUCAGACACACUGGAAAGACACGGUCCAGACUCCUACGGGAGGCAGCAGUGGGGAAUUUUYCAUGGGCGAAAGCCUGACGGAGCAAUACCGCGUGAGGGAAGAAUGCCUGGUUGUAAACCUCUUUUUUCAGGGAGGAAUAAAAUGACGUGUACCUGAAGAAUAAGCAUCGGCUAACUCUGUGCCAGCAGCUCGCGGUAAGACGGAGGAUGCAAGUGUUAUCCGGAAUYACUGGGCCGUAAAGCGUYUGUAUGUGGUUUAAUAAGUCAACUGUUUAAUCUUGAGGCUCAACUUUCAAAAUCGAAACUAUUUAGACUAGAGUAUAGUAGGGGUAAAGGGAAAUUU
rnacentral:rRNA from 1 species